GUGCAGGUAUGAGGUGAAUUUCUGAUGUGCUAAACUAACCUUUCAGGGUGAAUUAGCAGCGUGACUUACUAGCCAUUGCUGUCAGUCACCUUUAGACAAGU
rnacentral:snoRNA from 1 species